GACGAACGCUGGCGGCGUGCUUAACACAUGCAAGUCGAACGGGGGGAGCAAUCCCCUAGUGGCGGACGGGUGAGUAACGCGUAGGUCAUCUGCCCCGCGGUGGGGGAUACCCGGCCGAAAGGCCGGCUAAUACCGCAUACGCUGAGAGGGUGCGAUUCCCUUUCAGGAAAGGUUUACUGCCGAGGGAUGAGCCUGCGUCCGAUUAGCUAGUUGGUAGGGUAAUGGCCUACCAAGGCGACGAUCGGUAGCUGGUCUGAGAGGACGAUCAGCCACACUG
rnacentral:rRNA from 1 species